UGGGGAAUUUUGGACAAUGGGCGCAAGCCUGAUCCAGCCAUGCCGCGUGCGGGAAGAAGGCCUUCGGGUUGUAAACCGCUUUUGUCAGGGAAGAAACGCUCUGGGCUAAUACCCUGGGGUAAUGACGGUACCUGAAGAAUAAGCACCGGCUAACUACGUGCCAGCAGCCGCGGUAAUACGUAGGGUGCAAGCGUUAAUCGGAAUUACUGGGCGUAAAGCGUGCGCAGGCGGUUAUGCAAGACAGAUGUGAAAUCCCCGGGCUCAACCUGGGAACUGCAUUUGUGACUGUAUAGCUAGAGUACGGUAGAGGGGGAUGGAAUUCCGCGUGUAGCAGUGAAAUGCGUAGAUAUGCGGAGGAACACCGAUGGCGAAGGCAAUCCCCCGGACCUGUACUGACGCUCAUGCACGAAAGCGUGGGGAGCAAACAGGAUUAGAUACCCCAGUAGUCCCUGAGCGGGCUGGCAAGGCGCAU
rnacentral:rRNA from 1 species